rnacentral:misc_RNA from 1 species
AAACAUUUUUAUCCUGGGAGCUUCAAGCUGCCCAGCGUUCUUCUAUGUACAAGGGGUCCAUGUACAUUCUUUAAUAGAGAACUGUGUACACCGAAGUGCCUUUAUCGCCACCAUACCAAUUACUGUAUGCAUCUGUCCGUCAUAUGUACGUGCAUGUAAAUAAAUUGUCUGGACAAUUUCUCAGUGAACCGUAACCAAAAUUCAAUAGCAAUGAAGAUAGAAUCUGUGGAAGUGAGUUUUAGAGAUGACUAUUCUCAACAAAGAAGGCUGUACUUUCCGGGCCAGACUGUCAGUGGGACUUUUAGCUUCCGAGUGACCGAGACAUUUACAGUAAACAGUAAGUAUGACAGUGUGUAAUCAGUGCAUUCCUAUCCCCAUCGACAACGCUAAACAGUGACCGCUCGCUGACCUCUCUGUACUGGGAUACUGGCCAUAAUACACGUACAAGUGUAUUACCGAAGCUGCAUACGCAUGCCUUUUAAAAAUUGAUUGCAACUGAAAUAAUAUUCAUGCAUAUACAUUACGCAAUCAAUUAUGAACCGAUUAUGGAUUAAUUAAGACGAUCGCGAAUUCUUAUUCUACAUGUGUUGUUAUGAAAUGCAAGGGGAAAACUCACGUGGAAUGGACGGAUACAGACUCUAAAGGCGAUGAUAAAGAAAUCGACGUUGAUGAGAUGCAUUUAGAAGAUGUCCAAUAUUUGAUAGGAUCAGAGUAUGACAAAAAUUUUCGUCAAGAUUUAUAUGUUGGGGAGCAUAGACAUGAGUUCUCGUUCAAGUUACCGGAGAAUCUGCCAACAUCUUAUGAAAACAAGCAUGCCUAUGUACGCUAUUACCUGAAGGCAAAGUUUUACAGACCAGAGUGGACGAAAACUGACUAUGAGUUCAAGGAACACUUCACUGUGAUCGGUCUUAUUGAUCUUAACGGAGAUCGUAGGGCCAUGCAACCGGUCAAUUCAACCGAUACGGACACGGUUGGAUGCUGCUGCUGUGCUGAAGGACCGAUUGUCUCGGAGUUCAAGCUGGAGAGAACCUGCUAUGUGCCAGGGGAGUUCAUCAACAUACGGGCACUGAUUGACAACAAAACCUCCAAGAAGAUGAGCGGCUCCAGGGUGGAACUCUGGAUGAAAGAAAAACUGGUAUAUAAAAACUAUUCGCAUACAGAUAAAAAAAUGAUAGCUGAACUAAGACACGGGGAAACUCAGGCCGGGGGUCAGGAUAUAUGGAGUACCGAGAGACUUCAUAUCCCUCCGUGUCCCCCAACGAUGGAAUCGAGUUCCAUCAUGCAGCUGACAUAUAGUUUACAGUUUAUCGGCGACAUUGGCUUCCUGGGGGUCAAUCACACCGUCCCUGUGACUAUCGGAACCAUCCCCUUGACCAGUGUUUACUCCAUGCCCAGUAACUGGAGCUCCAUGCCCAGCCCAUUCAGCUCUUUCUACCCGCCCCUACCAGCUUCCGGUACGAUUGCCGAUCCAGCGGAUAUAUCCCUCAAUCCUAUUACGUCACAACCUGGCACCCUGCCAUCGGCACCCCCUCCUUCGUUCCAUGAAAGUGUGAACUUCACAGGAACCAUUGUGACGGAGAAAAAUGAAGGGAAGAAGAAAAAACAGAAGUUUCAGCCGACUUUUAUAUAUUAUAACUUUGGGGGAGAGCCAUUGCUCCCCAAAGACAUGGGUCUGCGCUGAGAAUGCAUUGUCUGAUUUUAUUUGUAGGUCUGAUGAUUGCAAAUACUGAAUUUUGUUGAUGUACGUAUGUACAUUCUCAAUUUUUUGAUUUUUAUUCAAAAAAUUUCUAUGAAUUAUAUUAUCAAUUUUACUACUCAUUAUAAAUAUCAGGGUUUUUUUAUUAAAUAAUGAUUUUAUUCAUAAUUUUAUGCUAUGUGUAAUGUACAUGUUAUAGAAUGGGAAUGGUUUAGUCAAUGGAUUUAAAAAAAAAAAUCAUAUGCAAGUGUACAUGUAUUAAUACAUUUUUGUAUCUAUUUAUUAGCAAUAACCAUUAAAAGAUGAACAUUUCUAUAUG